rnacentral:rRNA from 1 species
GAUGAACGCUGGCGGCGUGCCUAAUACAUGCAAGUCGAGCGAACGGACGAGAAGCUUGCUUCUCUGAUGUUAGCGGCGGACGGGUGAGUAACACGUGGAUAACCUACCUAUAAGACUGGGAUAACUUCGGGAAACCGGAGCUAAUACCGGAUAAUAUUUUGAACCGCAUGGUUCAAAAGUGAAAGACGGUCUUGCUGUCACUUAUAGAUGGAUCCGCGCUGCAUUAGCUAGUUGGUAAGGUAACGGCUUACCAAGGCAACGAUGCAUAGCCGACCUGAGAGGUGGACGGGCAAGAUGGAAACGGACAAACGGUCCAGCCCACGGCGGGGGGCAGCAGUGGGGAGUCUGCCAAAAUGGGCGAAGGCCUGAAGAAGCAGGGCCGGGGGAGUGAUGAGGGUCUUGGGAUCAAAAAACUGUUUUAUUGGAAAAAAAAAAAUGUGAAAGAAACUGUGCCAAUCUAGACGGUACUUAAACAGAAGGCCCGGCCAAACUCCGUC